rnacentral:rRNA from 1 species
AUUGAACGCUGGCGGCAGGCCUAACACAUGCAAGUCGAGCGGAGCGGCGGACGGGUGAGUAAUACCUAGGAAUCUGCCUGGUAGUGGGGGAUAACGUCCGGAAACGGGAGCUAAUACCGCAUACUAUCAGAUGAGCCUCUGUCGGAUUAGCUCGUAGGUGGGGUAACGGCUAACCUAGGCGCCGAUCCCUAGCUGGGCUGACAGGAUGACCAGCCACACUGGAACUGAGACACUGGCCAGACUCCUACGGGAGGCAGCAUUGGGGAAUAUUGCACAAGGGGCGCAAUCCUGAUGCAGCCAUGCCGCGUGUGUGAAGAAGGCCUUCGGGUUGUAAAGCACUUUCAGCGGGGAGGCGUUACCCGCAGAAGAAGCACCGGCUAACUCCGUGCCAGCAGCCGCGGUAAUGC